CUCCUGUCAUCCUGGCUGCCCUGCCCCCCAGAACUCUCCAUCCAGCCGAAUCUCAAUGGUGUCCUCAUCCCUCCCCACCUGAGGACCUCCACCACCGCUACCGCCGUCACCUCCCCCUCAUCCUCACAUGGUUUAGGGGAGAGCCCGGAGCGGCCGGGACAGGAGCCUUCCACAUCUGUAGCCAACUCCUCCUGAGGCCCCAGGUUGGCCCCUCCCACCUUCGGUCCGGAAGCCCUGGCCCGGAGGCCCGGGUCCUAGAGCCUGCCUUCUCCCCAUCCCUGGCUGGGGUCAGUUUUUAGAUGGGGGACAAGGAAAGGGGAGAAGACGGCUGAGACCCAGGUCCCUCCUACCUCACAGAGGCAAAAGCCUGGCAGGGGAAAUGGAGGAGGGGGUGCCCCCUGACCCCCUUCACCCUCUGUUCCUCCCCCUCCCCCCGCAUUGGGCUGGCUGGCCAAGCUAGCUUUUUAACAGAGGAUUUUAACUGGGUGUUGGGGGGUGGUGGAGAGAGAAGGAAGAGGCUCUCUGGGCUUGAGCACUCCCCCCAACCCCUGCCACCCCCCCAUUUGUCCCUUGUAAAUAGGACCAGACCCUGCCUCAGGCCCCCUUUUUCCUGACCCCUUCCCUUCUCUUCUCCCGGGUGUAAAUAGAUUGUUAUAAUUUUUUCUUAAAGAAAAUGUUGCAAUGAUUCGCGCCGCCCAUCUCCCUGCCCCAGCUGUGAUCCCAUCCGCCCUCCCUGCUGUCCCCCCAGCCCCCCUCCUCUUGCCCCCAUCCCCCUGGGACAGGAAGGGAGGGGGGCUGGGGGAGCCCCGAUGUCUUAGUUCCCACAGUAGGGUUUGCCUGUGUACAGAACUUUCCGUUCAAUAAAUUAUUGGCAUGAGAAGGA